rnacentral:rRNA from 1 species
GACGAACGCUGGCGGCGUGCCUAAUACAUGCAAGUUGAGCGCUGAAGGUUGGUACUUGUACCAACUGGAUGAGCAGCGAACGGGUGAGUAACGCGUGGGGAAUCUGCCUUUGAGCGGGGGACAACAUUUGGAAACGAAUGCUAAUACCGCAUAAAAACUUUAAACACAAGUUUUAAGUUUGAAAGAUGCAAUUGCAUCACUCAAAGAUGAUCCCGCGUUGUAUUAGCUAGUUGGUGAGGUAAAGGCUCACCAAGGCGAUGAUACAUAGCCGACCUGAGAGGGUGAUCGGCCAAAUUGGGAAUGAGACACGGCCCAAACUCCUACGGGAGGCAGCAGUAGGGAAUCUUCGGCAAUGGACGAAAGUCUGACCGAGCAACGCCGCGGGAGUGAAGAAGGGUGUCGGAUCGUAAAACUCUGUUGGUAGAGAAGAACGUUGGUGAGAGUGGAAAGCUCAUCAAGUGACGGUAACUACACAGAAAGGGACGGCUAACUACGUG